rnacentral:rRNA from 1 species
AGAGUUUGAUCAUGGCUCAGAUUGAACGCUGGCGGCAUGCCUAAUACAUGCAAGUCGAACGGUAACAGGCUUUUCGGAGUGCUGACGAGUGGCGGACGGGUGAGUAACGCGUGGGAAUCUGCCCUGUAGCGGGGGACAACCUAGGAAACUGAGGCUAAUACCGCAUACCUUCUACGGAAGAAAGUAGGCCACUGAAUAUGCUUACACUACAGGAUGAGCCCGCGUUGGAUUAGCUAGUUGGUAAGGUAAUGGCUUACCAAGGCUACGAUCCAUAACUGGUCUGAGAGGACGACCAGUCACACCGGGACUGAGACACGGCCCGGACUCCUACGGGAGGCAGCAGUAGGGAAUAUUGGGCAAUGGGCGCAAGCCUGACCCAGCAAUGCCGCGUGUGUGAAGAAGGCCUUAGGGUUGUAAAGCACUUUCAGGAGGGAAGAAAAGGUUAGGAAUAAUACGCCUAACUCAUGACGUUACCUCCAAAAGAAGCACCGGCUAACUCUGUGCCAGCAGCCGCGGUAAUACAGAGGGUGCGAGCGUUAAUCGGAAUUACUGGGCGUAAAGGGUGCGUAGGCGGUUAGAUAAGUUAGAUGUGAAAUCCCUGGGCUCAA